rnacentral:snRNA from 1 species
AAAGUUAUGAAGGUCCAUGGUCUAGACUGACCUCCAUUACAUUUAAGAGGGGUGUCUUUCUAAAGUUUACUCAAGUGGUGGAACCUACAUCAUAAUUUGUUGUUGAUUGGGCCUGCGUUCGCGCGACCCACA